GCCCCGGUAAACGGCGGCCGUAACUAUAACGGUCCUAAGGUAGCGAAAUUCCUUGUCGGGUAAGUUCCGACCUGCACGAAUGGCGUAAUGAUGGCCAGGCUGUCUCCACCCGAGACUCAGUGAAAUUGAACUCGCUGUGAAGAUGCAGUGUACCCGCGGCAAGACGGAAAGACCCCGUGAACCUUUACUAUAGCUUGACACUGAACAUUGAGCCUUGAUGUGUAGGAUAGGUGGGAGGCUUUGAAGUGUGGACGCCAGUCUGCAUGGAGCCGACCUUGAAAUACCACCCUUUAAUGUUUGAUGUUCUAACGUUGGCCCGUAAUCCGGGUUGCGGACAGUGUCUGGUGGGUAGUUUGACUGGGGCGGUCUCCUCCUAAAGAGUAACGGAGGAGCACGAAGGUUGGCUAAUCCUGGUCGGACAUCAGGAGGUUAGUGCAAUGGCAUAAGCCAGCUUGACUGCGAGCGUGACGGCGCGAGCAGGUGCGAAAGCAGGUCAUAGUGAUCCGGUGGUUCUGAAUGGAAGGGCCAUCGCUCAACGGAUAAAAGGUACUCCGGGGAUAACAGGCUGAUACCGCCCAAGAGUUCAUAUCGACGGCGGUGUUUGGCACCUCGAUGUCGGCUCAUCACAUCCUGGGGCUGAAGUAGGUCCCAAGGGUAUGGCUGUUCGCCAUUUAAAGUGGUACGCGAGCUGGGUUUAGAACGUCGUGAGACAGUUCGGUCCCUAUCUGCCGUGGGCGCUGGAGAACUGAGGGGGGCUGCUCCUAGUACGAGAGGACCGGAGUGGACGCAUCAC
rnacentral:rRNA from 1 species